GGUGCAGUAGCUUAGUGGUUAGCACUGUUGCCUCACAACUCCGGGUUGAGGGUUUGAAUCCCACCUCCGCCC